rnacentral:rRNA from 1 species
GACGAACGCUGGCGGCGUGCCUAACACAUGCAAGUCGAACGGAAAGGCCCUGCUUUUGUGGGGUGCUCGAGUGGCGAACGGGUGAGUAACACGUGAGUAACCUGCCCUUGACUUUGGGAUAACUUCAGGAAACUGGGGCUAAUAUCGGAUAGGAGCUCCUGCUGCAUGGUGGGGGUUGGAAAGUUUCGGCGGUUGGGGAUGGACUCGCGGCUUAUCAGCUUGUUGGUGGGGUAGUGGCUUACCAAGGCUUUGACGGGUAGCCGGCCUGAGAGGGUGACCGGCCACAUUGGGACUGAGAUACGGCCCAGAGUCCUACAGGAGGCAGCGGUGGGGAAUAUUGCACAAUGGUCGGAAGCCUGAUGCAGCAGCUCCGCGUGAGGGAUGACGGCCUUCGGGUUGUAAACCGCUUUCGCCUGUGACGAAGCGUGAGUGACGGUAAUGGGUAAAGAAGCACCGGCUAACUACGUG